rnacentral:rRNA from 1 species
AUUGAACGCUGGCGGCAGGCCUAACACAUGCAAGUCGAGCGAGCGGCGGACGGGUGAGUAAUGUCCGGGAAACUGCCCGAUGGAGGGGGAUAACUACUGGAAAAGGUAGCUAAUAACGCAUACCAUCAGAUGUGCCCAGUUGGGAUUAGCUAGUAGGUGGGGUAAUGGCUCACCUAGGCCACGAUCCCUAGCUGGUCUGAGAGGAUGACCAGCCACACAGGAACUGUUGCGAGGUCCAGACUCAUACGGGAGCCAGCAGGGGGGAAGGUUGCACAAUGGGGGCAAGCCUGAUGCAGCCAUGCUGGGUGGGUGAAUAAGUCCUUCGAGUUGUAAAGCACUUUCAGCGGGGAGGCGUUACCCGCAGAAGAAGCACCGGCUAACUCCGUGCCAGCAGCCGCGGUAAUAC